GAAACGCCCGGUCCCAUUCCGAACCCGGAAGCUAAGCCCUCCAGCGCCGAUGGUACUGCACUCGACAGGGUGUGGGAGAGUAGGACACCGCCGAAC
rnacentral:rRNA from 1 species